UACGUAGGGGCAAGCGUUGUCCGGAUUUAUUGGGCGUAAAGAGCGUGUAGGCGGCCAGAUAGGUCCGUUGUGAAAACUCGAGGCUCAACCUCGAGACGCCGAUGGAAACCAUUUGGCUAGAGUCCGGAAGAGGAGAGUGGAAUUCCUGGUGUAGCGGUGAAAUGCGCAGAUAUCAGGAAGAACACCCGUGGCUAAGGCGGCUCUCUAGUACGGUACUGACGCUGAGACGCGAAAGCGUGGGGAGCGAACAGG
rnacentral:rRNA from 1 species